GGGAUACUGGCCUAUUUGCUAUCUUUCCUUGAUGUUUUGGGCCUAAGGUCGUCAAGGGAGUUGGCGCUGUUCGCGGCACAACAGAAAAGUCACGAGGGUACAACGAACCCCUACGGACCCUGUAUGUCAGCGUAUAUCUGACUACCACCUAUAAGAUAUGGCGACCAAAACUAUACAGGAGGCGGUAGGCUGGUUACUUU
rnacentral:sRNA from 1 species